UGGGGAAUAUUGCACAAUGGGCGCAAGCCUGAUGCAGCCAUGCCGCGUGUAUGAAGAAGGCCUUCGGGUUGUAAAGUACUUUCAGUCGGGAGGAAGGUGGUAAGGUUAAUAACCUUAUCAAUUGACGUUACCGCCAGAAGAAGCACCGGCUAACUCCGUGCCAGCAGCCGCGGUAAUACGGAGGGUGCAAGCGUUAAUCGGAAUUACUGGGCGUAAAGCGCACGCAGGCGGUUGAUUGAGUCAGAUGUGAAAUCCCCGGGCUUAACCCGGGAAGUGCAUCUGAUACUGGUCAGCUGGAGUCUUGUAGAGGGGGGUAGAAUUCCAUGUGUAGCGGUGAAAUGCGUAGAGAUGUGGAGGAAUACCGGUGGCGAAGGCGGCCCCCUGGACAAAGACUGACGCUCAGGUGCGAAAGCGUGGGGAGCAAACAGG
rnacentral:rRNA from 1 species